rnacentral:rRNA from 1 species
CAAUAGCGUAUAUUAAAGUUGUUGCAGUUAAAAAGCUCGUAGUUGGAUUUCGGGGCAGCCUGGCUGGUCCGCCGCAAGGCGAGUACUGGUCAGCCGCCCUUCCUCUCGAAAGCCCCGACUGCUCUUUAUUGCAGUGGUCGGGUAGUUCGGGACGUUUACUUUGAAAGAAUUAGAGUGUUCAAGGCAGGCCUACGCCUGAAUACAUUAGCAUGGAAUAAUGGAAGAGGACCUCGGUCCUAUUUUGUUGGUUUCCAGGACCGAAGUAAUGAUUAAGAGGGACAGUUGGGGGCAUUCGUAUUUAAUUGUCAGAGGUGAAAUUCUCGGAUUUAUGAAAGACGAACAACUGCGAAAGCAUUUGCCAAGGAUGUUUUCAUUAA